rnacentral:rRNA from 1 species
UACGGAGGGUGCGAGCGUUAAUCGGAAUUACUGGGCGUAAAGGGUGCGUAGGUGGUUUGAUAAGUUAUCUGUAAAAGCCCAGGGCUCAACCUUGGAAGGCCAGAUAAUACUGUUGAACUGGAGUAUGGGAGAGGGUAGUGGAAUUUCCGGUGUAGCGGUGAAAUGCGUAGAGAUCGGAAGGAACACCAGUGGCGAAGGCGGCUACCUGGCCUGAUACUGACACUGAAGCACGAAAGCGUGGGGAG